rnacentral:piRNA from 2 species
UGGGAAAUGAAGGUAUCUGGUUAAG